UCUUGUAAUUGGAAUGAGUACAAUUUAAACCUCUUAACGAGGAACAAUUGGAGGGCAAGUCUGGUGCCAGCAGCCGCGGUAAUUCCAGCUCCAAUAGCGUAUAUUAAAGUUGUUGCAGUUAAAAAGCUCGUAGUUGAAACUUGGGCCUGGCUGGCGGGUCCGCCUCACCGCGUGCACUCGUCCGGCCGGGCCUUCCUUCUGAAGAACCUCAUGCCCUUCACUGGGCGUGCUGGGGAAUCAGGACUUUUACUUUGAAAAAAUUAUAGUGUUCAAAGCAGGCCUUUGCUCGAAUACGUUAGCAUGGAAUAAUAAAAUAGGGCGUGCGUUUCUAUUUUGUUGGUUUCUAGAGACGCCGCAAUGAUUAACAGGAACAGUCGGGGGCAUCAGUAUUCAGUUGUCAGAGGUGAAAAUUCUUGGAUUUACUGAAGACUAACUACUGCGAAAGCAUUUGCCAAGGAUGUUUUCAUUAAUCAGUGAACGAAAGUUAGGGGAUCGAAGACGAUCAGAUACCGUCGUAGUCUUAACCGUAAACUAUGCCGACUAGGGAUCGGGCGAUGUUCUUUUUCUGACUCGCUCGGCACCUUACGAGAAAUCAAAGUUUUUGGGUUCUGGGGGGAUUAUGGUCGCAAGGUUGAAACUUAUGAAAUAAGGAUUGACAGAUUGAGAGCUCUUUCUUGAUUUUUCAGGUGGUGGUGCAUGGCCGUUCUUAGUUCGUGGGGUGACUUGUCUGCUUAAUUGCGAUAACGAGCGAGACCUUACUCUGCUAAAUAGCCAGGCUAACUUUGGUUGGUCGCCGGCUUCUUAGAGAGACUAUCAACUCAAGUUGAUGGAAGUUUGAGGCAAUAACAGGUCUGUGAUGCCCUUAGAUGUUCUGGGCCGCACGCGCGCUACACUGACAGAGCCAACGAGUUCUUUUCCUUGUUCGAAAGAAUUGGGUAAUCUUGUUAAACUCUGUCGGCUGGGGAUAAAGCAUUGCAAUUAUUGCUUUUCAACGAGGAAUGCCUAGUAAGCGCGUGUCAUCAGCAUGCGUUGAUUACGUCCCUGACCUUUGUACACACCGCCCGUCGCUACUACCGAUUGAAUGGCUCAGUGAGGCCUUCGGACUGGCUCGAGGAGGUUGG
rnacentral:rRNA from 1 species